rnacentral:rRNA from 1 species
AUACGGAGGGGGUUAGCGUUGUUCGGAAUUACUGGGCGUAAAGCGCACGUAGGCGGACUGGAAAGUUGGGGGUGAAAUCCCGGGGCUCAACCCCGGAACUGCCUCCAAAACUUCCAAUCUAGAGAUCGAGAGAGGUAAGUGGAAUUCCUAGUGUAGAGGUGAAAUUCGUAGAUAUUAGGAGGAACACCAGUGGCGAAGGCGGCUUACUGGCUCGAUACUGACGCUGAGGUGCGAAAGCGUGGGGAGCAAACAGGAGUAGAAACCCCAGUAGUCC